CCUACGGGAGGCUGCAGUGAGGAAUAUUGGUCAAUGGGCGGAAGCCUGAACCAGCCAAGUAGCGUGCGGGAUGAAGGUCCUACGGGUCGUAAACCGCUUUUGCACGGGAAUAACGCCCUCCACUUGAGGGCCUCUGCAGGUACCCUGCGGAUAAGGGCCGGCUAAUUCCGUGCCAGCAGCCGCGGUAAUACGGAAGGCGCGAGCGUUAUCCGGAUUCAUUGGGCUUAAAGGGAGCGUAGGCGGGCGUUUAAGUCAGCUGUAAAAUCGCGCGGCUCAACCGCGCCCCGCCGUUGAAACUGGAGGCCUGGAGUGGACAACAGGCAGGCGGAAUGCGUGGUGUAGCGGUGAAAUGCAUAGAUAUCACGCAGAACCCCGAUUGCGAAGGCAGCAUGCCGGGGUGCGACUGACGCUGAGGCUCGAAGGUGCGGGUAUCAAACAGGAUUAGAUACCCGAGUAGUC
rnacentral:rRNA from 1 species